rnacentral:rRNA from 1 species
UGAGGAAUUUUCUGCAAUGGGCGAAAGCCUGACAGAGCAAUACCGCGUGAAGGAAGAAGGCCUAUGGGUUGUAAACUUCUUUUUUCAAAGAAGAAAAAAUGACGUUAUUUGAAGAAUAAGCAUCGGCUAACUCUGUGCCAGCAGCCGCGGUAAUACAGAGGAUGCAAGUUUUAUCCGGAUUUAUUGGGCGUAAAGCGUCUGCAGGUUGAUUUUUAAGUCUUUUGUUAAAACUUUAAGCUUAACUUAAAAACUGCAAAAGAAACUAUUUAUCUAGAGUUUAUUAGAGGUAAAGGAAAUUUUUGGUGGAGCGGUGAAAUGCGUAGAUAUCAAAAGGAGCACCAAUAGCGAAAGCACUUUACUGGAUUUAAACUGACACUCAGAGACGAAAGCUAAGGGAGCAAACAGG